AAGUCGUAACAAGGUUUCCGUAGGUGAACCUGCGGAAGGAUCAUUAUUGAAUUUUGAAGAGGGGUUGUAGCUGAUCUUUUAGAUAUGUGCACACCUCUUUAUCUACACACCCAUGUGCACCUUUUGUAGGCUUUUUUGCCUAUGUUUUUAUACACACACACAUUUUGUACAAGAAUGUUAUUGAUGAAAUUUAAUACAACUUUCAACAACGGAUCUCUUGGCUCUCGCAUCGAUGAAGAACGCAGCGAAAUGCGAUAAGUAAUGUGAAUUGCAGAAUUCAGUGAAUCAUCGAAUCUUUGAACGCACCUUGCGCUCCUUGGUAUUCCGAGGAGCAUGCCUGUUUGAGUGUCAUUAAAUUAUCAACCUCUUCAAGAGGCUUGGAUUUGGAGUGUUGCUGGCAUAUUUUGUUGGCUCCUCUUAAAUGUAUUAAAGCUUGUAGGCUUUGGUUUGAUAAUAUCUAUGCCAUCGCUGUAAUGCAAAACCACCUUGAAAUUUGACCUCAAAUCAGGUAGGACUACCCGCUGAACUUAAGCAUAUCAAUAAGCGGAGGAAAAGAAACUAACAAGGAUUCCCCUAGUAACUGCGAGUGAAGCGGGAAAAGCUCAAAUUUAAAAUCUGGCAGUCUUAUGGCUGUCCGAGUUGUAAUCUAGAGAAGUGCUUUCCGCGUUGGACCGUGUACAAGUCUCUUGGAACAGAGCGUCGUAGAGGGUGAGAAUCCCGUCUUUGACACGGACUACCAGUGCUUAUGUGAUGCGCUCUCGAAGAGUCGAGUUGUUUGGGAAUGCAGCUCAAAAUGGGUGGUAGAUUCCAUCUAAAGCUAAAUAUUGGCGAGAGACCGAUAGCGAACAAGUACCGUGAGGGAAAGAUGAAAAGAACUUUGGAAAGAGAGUUAAACAGUACGUGAAAUUGUUGAAAGGGAAACGCUUGAAGUCAGUCACGUUGGCCAGAAAUCAACCCUCAUGGGUGUACUUUCUGGUUUUACGGGUCAGCAUCAAUUUUGAUUGUUGGAUAAAAGUCAAUAUUUAUGCAUUUUCGGAUGUAUAGCCUUUGGUUGCAUACAACAGUUGGGAUUGAGGAACUCAGCAUGCCGCAAGGCCGGGUCUUUGUGAUCACGUACAUGCUUAGGAUGCUGGCAUAAUGGCUUUAAUCGACCCGUCUUGAAACACGGACC
rnacentral:rRNA from 1 species